AGCUACAAAAUGCUGUGGCUGAGCUGGCAUAAAGAUUACCGUCACAUCAGAACUUAUUAUUCACAUUAGUGUCACUAAAGUUGGUAUUCAACCCCCCACUGCUAAAUUUGACUGGCUUUAA
rnacentral:sRNA from 1 species